AUGGAUUCCUUUUUCCAAAGAGCUUUCGGCGACCCAAUGUGCUCGGAAGACAGUAAUGUUGUCCAACAAGGAAUUGAUAAAUGCCCAUUCCUGAGGAACAUCAACGAGCCUACAAGUUUUUCCUUGACAUCCAUUAAUUUCCCCACUCCGGCAACCGGAGCAAAGGGUCCAAUUUUUGAAGACGGGCCCAACUUUGACACGGCAUUUCGAGUUUUCCACGGCAGAGACGGGGUUGUUCCACUUUCAGAAGGAGCGUUUGCACAUAUUGAGAAGCCUCUGCCAAAGCCCGCUCCAGAAUUUAACCCCUUGGCAGCCAAAGCAGCUACCAUCAGUCUCUCAGGAUUCGGAGGCUUUUUCAGCUUCGGUGAUUUCUCAAACAAGCGCAAUAAGCAGAACUCCAACAAGAAGAAUCCCAACAACCUCCCCCAGAAUAAAGGCCAGUCUAAUAACAAUCAUGAAGCGAUGAGCAAUGACUGGCUGGAAAAUGGUCAAUGCCCUCUUGCAAAGUCAUAUAGAGCAAUUGGUGGAGUCGUGCCUCUUGUCGCAAAGCUGCUGGCGCCCCCAGCUGGUAUGAAACUGACGUGCCCUCCUGCAAUUGUUGCUGCCCGUGCAGCAAUAUCCCGCACGGCGUUUGCAAAGGGGCUUCGCCCUCAGCCCCUACCGACAAAAGUAGUGGUGAUCGCACUGCUCGGUAUGGCAGCCAAUGUUCCUCUUGGCAUCUGGAGGGAGCACACCACGAAGUUUUCAGUGCAAUGGUUUGCGGCGGUCCAUGCUGCAGUGCCUUUCAUAGGGAUGCUGAGGAAGUCCAUCCUGAUGCCGAAGAGUGCCAUGGCCCUUACCAUAGCUGCCUCAAUAUUGGGUCAGACAAUUGGUUCAAGAGCUGAACGUAUCAGAUUGAAGAGGGCAAAAUUAGCAGCAGAGGGCCAUGGCCAUGAACAUGCUACCCGGAUUGAAGCUCCGGUGAGCCUGAAAACUGGGAGCUCAGGUGCUGUCCAGCUCUGGGACCCGCUCGGCCUUAGGGUCAAAGGCGGCGUGUCUCCAACCCUGGUUCCGACUGUUGGUGCCAUGUAUUGA
rnacentral:rRNA from 1 species